GAUCCUGGCUCAGGAUGAACGCUAGCUACAGGCUUAACACAUGCAAGUCGAGGGGAACGACAUUGAAGCUUGCUUCGAUGGGCGUCGACCGGCGCACGGGUGAGUAACGCGUAUCCAACCUGCCUCUGACUAAGGGAUAACCCGGCGAAAGUCGGACUAAUACCUUAUGAGGUUUUCAGCAGACAUCUAACGAAACGAAGAUUAUCGGUCAGUGAUGGGGAUGCGUCUGAUUAGCUUGUUGGG
rnacentral:rRNA from 1 species